rnacentral:rRNA from 1 species
AUUGAACGCUGGCGGCAGGCCUAACACACGCAAGUCGAGCGGAUGAAGGGAGCUUGCUCCUGGAUUCAGCGGCGGACGGGUGAGUAAUGCCUAGGAAUCUGCCUGGUAGUGGGGGAUAACGUCCGGAAACGGGCGCUAAUACCGCAUACGUCCUGAGGGAGAAAGUGGGGGAUCUUCGGACCUCACGCUCUCAGAUGAGCCUAGGUCGGAUUAGCUAGUUGGUGGGGUAAAGGCCGACCAAGGCGACGAUCCGUAACUGGUCUGAGAGGAUGAUCAGUCACACUGGAACUGAGACACGGUCCAGACUCCUACGGGAGGCAGCAGUGGGGAAUAUUGGACAAUGGGCGAAAGCCUGAUCCAGCCAUGCCGCGUGUGUGAAGAAGGUCUUCGGAUUGUAAAGCACUUUAAGUUGGGAGGAAGGGCAGUAAGUUAAUACCUUGCUGUUUUGACGUUACCAACAGAAUAAGCACCGGCUAACUUCGUG